GACGUAGGGCGCGAGCGUUGUCCGGAUUUAUUGGGCGUAAAGAGCUCGUAGGCGGCUUGUCGCGUCGUUCGUGAAAACCUGCAGCUCAACUGCAGGCUUGCGGUCGAUACGGGCAGGCUAGAGUUCGGUAGGGGAGACUGGAAUUCCUGGUGUAGCGGUGGAAUGCGCAGAUAUCAGGAAGAACACCCGUGGCGAAGGCGGCUCUCUGGGACGGUACUGACGCUGAGACGCGAAAGCGUGGGGAGCGAACAGG
rnacentral:rRNA from 1 species